CCGGAAUUUCCCUACCUAUGAUUAACCCUUCUUUUGGCCAUCCUGGCUUACCUCCUGGAUCAAUGCAGCAAAUACCAAAUAUGCAACUAGUUCCACCAUAUGGCCCUGGUGUUCUUAUGACUCCGUUUCACGGGCCACCCCAAGCUUGGCCAGGUUCGCAAGGUCUUGAGAUGAACAUGUUAACUAUGUCACCGGGCAUUCUCCCGAUUCCUCAUGGACCGAUGGG
rnacentral:misc_RNA from 1 species